AUAUAUAUAUAUAUAUAUAUAUAUAAUAGUAAAUAUAAUAUAAAUAUAAGUAGUAUAUAAGUUAUAUAUAUAUAUAUAUAAUUCUAUAUAAUUUAUCUAUCAUAUUAAAUUCAGUAUACAUUUUUAUAAGUACACAUAUUAUUGACAAUGUUGAUGUUGUAAAUAAUCAAGUUGUUUUGAUAUAGUGAAGUUAUACAUCGUGUUGGGGCUGAUAUGGAUGGCCGUGGCCUAGUGUUCAGAUCAGUGGUUCUCAAACAUUGAUACACAAACAGUCUGUAGUAGAGGUAAAUUAAAUUACUAGUAUGAUAGACCUAUUUUUUUUCAACUUGUAAAAAGUAUGUAUUUUAGUUUUUUUUUUUUUUUAAUUUAUAAUAGAAUUAAUAAAGCCAAAAAUAAAAUAUUAUAAACGUGAAUGUGAUUACGUUUGAAUCUUGAAUGGUUAGUCAGUCAUACAAACAGCUGAACGCAACGAAUGAUUGAAUUGAACAAAGUUUGUUACAUAGAUGGCUCGUAUCUUGAACUAACACAUAGGAUAUUUAUAUUAUAACUAGCUGUAUCCCGCGGCUUUCCCCGCGUGAAUCAGUAUACGAGUAUAUAUUGCUAUGUGCUAAAUUCGGAUAUAACCGUUCAGUAUUUUUGCGUGAAUGAGUAACAGACAUACAUUUUAACAGACUUUCACAUUUAUUAUAGUACUAGAAUAUAUACGGGUUGUUACACCUGGGCUCAAAUAUUAUUGUGACUUUAUUGUUAAAAAGAUUUGAUUUAAAUUUAUAUUUUUUGUGCAACCUUGGCUCUUGGAUUAAAGCGCAAAGAGUUUGAGAACCACUGGUUCACAUGACAUAUUUUGGUAUGGUUUAGUUAAUUUCUUAUUGACUUCAACUAAAAAUAAUGUUUAUAUUAUAUUUUAAAUUGAAAAUGUUACAAGUUUUAUUGUUAAGUAAGUUAAUUGUUUUUUUUUAUUAGUAAACAAAUAUCUCAAAAAAUUGAGUAGUCUAAAUGUGACAGAGUGAAUAGGUGAUCAAGUGGCUAACGAGUCUGUAUGAAGAUGAUGAAUUCUGAAUUCCCUCUGAGACGGAUCUGCGAACCUACUUAGGAUUUACCAGUGACACAGUGACACUACGAUGCAAGAUAAUUGAUCAUAGAUUGUAUGAGUUUUUAAAUGUGGAUUUGGGGUACAAGUGAGUGAAGGUGAGGUGAGGAUGAAGGUGAGGUGAGGUUGAAGGUGAGGUGAGGAUGAAGGUGAGGUGAGGAUGAAGAUGAGGUGGGGAUGAAGAUGAGGUGGGGAUGAAGGUGAGGUGAGGAUGAAGGUGAGGUGGGGAUGAAGGUGAGGUCAGUUACCCUCACGUGACAAAUUCACUGGGGAUGCUUCACGUAAGAUUUCUUAAGGGUCGGCAUUGCGCGCUUGAUAUCCCUGAUGUUAUAGGCGUUCAUAGGCUACGGUAACCCCGUUUACCAUCAGACGGGUCGUAUGCUUGUCUGCCACUAUAGUAGUAUAAAAAAAAUACGAUAUAUUCAUAUUUUUUACGUGCAUAUUUUAUUUCAUCACAAAUUUUUAUACGUUAAAAAGUACAGAGUUUAAGUGUGUAGUGAUAUAUCUAGGUUAAAAUACAAAAUAGUUGCAUUAUUUACAAAUUUUUACACGUAACAAAGUUCUGGUCAUUUUUUAAUUUGCUGAUAUUAGUUGCAAGGGAAUUUUGUAAUUUUUUAUCAUUAACUAGCUAACUUUAAGCUCACUAUUUCAUAAGCUUAGAUUUCAGAUAUAAAACCAAUGAAAUUGACUACUGUUAGAUGACAAAUCAUGGAACAAUAUACACCAGAUUUUAAGCUAGUUCUUCGCGACCUCUAAGCAAGACCUCUAAUAUAAAUUUUUCCUUAACAUAUAGAUAUAUUAAUUUUAUUAUAUUAACAAGAUUUUAAUUAUGCUGUUAAUUUUAUUCAUUAUGUUUAUUAAAAUCAUAACAUCGUUUUUAUUCUCCACUGAUUAAGGUGAAUUUUUAACAUUAAUAAAUCUAUUUUUAUAUAAAGAGAGUAGGAUUUUUUUAACAGUAACCCGCCUUUCUACUUACGAAUUUCGACCUUGUGAAAUAGUUGAUAAAUAUGAAUUUAUUUUUACAAGGUACGACCAGUGUAAUUUUUGCCAAAAUAGAAUUCUAGUAACGUAUGAGGGGUGUGGACAGAACGGUGUGCUUGUUUGUGAUGGUAGCUUUUCCCAUGACUGUACCCAUCAGUAUUUUGCAUCAGAUGGGUCCUCAGUGUGUUUACCAGUCAAGUUUACUUUUAAUUUUUAAGUAUGAAAACAUUAGAUAUAUCUAACAGAAGAUGGUUUUUAUUGAGGGGUGCCAAAAAGAAAAAAAUAUUUUUUUUUUAAAGUUUUCGACAUCAGUUAAAAGUGCUUUAUAUUUUUUUAAUUAAUUAUUUAAAGGUCUCUCGAUAAAAGGUGUCUUUUAUUAAAUUUGAUUUGUAAAUGAGUAACAAAGCUACUGUUCUUAUGUUUUGAUGUUAUAUUUUUAAUGUAAAAGUGUUAUAGUAAGAUAGAAGGACAGACGAACAAAUCUUGUCACAAAUAUUUGAUAGUACUGCCAAUUCUAGUAUUCGACAUUUUGUAUAAAUAGACAACCUCAAAUUGACUGUCAAAUCUCUAGUAUUUGUAUGUAAAAAAAAAAGUAGAUACGUUAUGUCAAGAAGUGAACAUUAUACAGCAUUAUAAUAAAAAUUAAGACGUGAAUUAUAUAUUAAAGUAUUUUUAUAUUUAAUGUUCGUAUUUGUUUUUGUUGUAUCUUCUUCAAAGGGGGUUUUAAUUAUACAAUAAUAAAGGUAAUUGUUGUUACAAA